rnacentral:rRNA from 1 species
UACGAAGGGGGCGAGCGUUGUUCGGAUUUACUGGGCGUAAAGGGCGCGUAGGCGGCCCGCUUUGUCAGGCGUGAAAGCCCUGGGCUCAACCUGGGAAUUGCGCUUGGGACGGGUUGGCUUGAGAUCGGGAGAGGAGAGUGGAAUUCCCGGUGUAGCGGUGAAAUGCGCAGAUAUCGGGAAGAACACCCGUGGCGAAGGCGGCUCUCUGGGACGGUACUGACGCUGAGACGCGAAAGCGUGGGGAGCGAACAGG